UAAAGUGGCGUACGGGUGAGUAACACGUGGAUCAUCUACCUCUUAGUGGGGAAUAACUUUGGGAAACCGAAGCUAAUACCGCAUAAGCCUGGAAAGGGAAAGUCGCAAGACGCUGAGAGAGGAGUCCGCGGCCGAUUAGCUAGUUGGCAGGGUAAAAGCCUACCAAGGCAUUGAUCGGUAGCCGGCCUGAGAGGGCACACGGCCACACUGGCACUGAAACACGGGCCAG
rnacentral:rRNA from 1 species